AUUGAACGCUGGCGGCAGGCUUAACACAUGCAAGUCGAGCGGAGAUGAGGUGCUUGCACCUUAUCUUAGCGGCGGACGGGUGAGUAAUGCUUAGGAAUCUGCCAUUUAGUGGGGGACAACAUUCCGAAAGGAAUGCUAAUACCGCAUACGUCCUACGGGAGAAAGCAGGGGACCUUCGGACCUUGCGCUAAAUGAUGAGCCUAAGUCGGAUUAGCUAGUUGGUGGGGUAAAGGCCUACCAAGGCGACGAUCUGUAGCGGGUCUGAGAGGAUGAUCCGCCACACUGGGACUGAGACACGGCCCAGACUCCUACGGGAGGCAGCAGUGGGGAAUAUUGGACAAUGGGCGGAAGACUGAUCCAGCCAUGCCGCGUGUGUGAAGAAGGCCUUUUGGUUGUAAAGCACUUUAAGCGAGGAGGAGGCUACUAGUACUAAUACUACUGGGUAGUGGACGUUACUCGCAGAAUAAGCACCGGCUAACUCUGUGCCAGCCGCCGCCGUAACAC
rnacentral:rRNA from 1 species